rnacentral:rRNA from 1 species
GAUGAACGCUGGCGGCGUGCCUAAUACAUGCAAGUCGAGCGAACAGACGAGGAGCUUGCUCCUCUGACGUUAGCGGCGGACGGGUGAGUAACACGUGGAUAACCUACCUAUAAGACUGGGAUAACUUCGGGAAACCGGAGCUAAUACCGGAUAAUAUAUUGAACCGCAUGGUUCAAUAGUGAAAGGCGGUUUUGCUGUCACUUAUAGAUGGAUCCGCGCCGCAUUAGCUAGUUGGUAAGGUAACGGCUUACCAAGGCGACGAUGCGUAGCCGACCUGAGAGGGUGAUCGGCCACACUGGAACAGAGACACGGUCCAGACUCCUACGGGAGGCAGCAGUAGGGAAUCUUCCGCAAUGGGCGAAAGCCUGACGGAGCAACGCCGCGUGAGUGAUGAAGGUCUUCGGAUCGUAAAACUCUGUUAUUAGGGAAGAACAAAUGUGAAAGUAACUAUGCACGUCUUGACGGUACCUAAUCAGAAAGCCACGGCUAACUACGUG